rnacentral:rRNA from 1 species
GGGUUGUGAGGUUAAGCGACUAAGCGUACACGGUGGAUGCCCUGGCAGUCAGAGGCGAUGAAGGACGUGCUAAUCUGCGAUAAGCGUCGGURAGGUGAUAUGAACCGUUAUACGGGGAGSAGCCCAGAGCCUGAAUCAGUGUGUGUGUUAGUGGAAGCGUCUGGAAAGGCGCGCGAUACAGGGUGACAGCCCCGUACACAAAAAUGCACAUACUGUGAGCUCGAUGAGUAGGGCGGGACACGUGGUAUCCUGUCUGAAUAUGGGGGGACCAUCCUCCAAGGCUAAAUACUCCUGACUGACCGAUAGUGAACCAGUACCGUGAGGGAAAGGCGAAAAGAACCCCGGYGAGGGGAGUGAAAAAGAACCUGAAACCGUGUACGUACAAGCAGUGGGAGCCUCUUWAUGGGGUGACUGCGUACCUUUUGUAUAAUGGGUCAGCGACUUAUAUUCUGUAGCAAGGUUAACCGAAUAGGGGAGCCGAAGGGAAACCGAGUCUUAACUGGGCGUUAAGUUGCAGGGUAUAGACCCGAAACCCGGUGAUCUAGCCAUGGGCAGGUUGAAGGUUGGGUAACACUAACUGGAGGACCGAACCGACUAAUGUUGAAAAAUUAGCGGAUGACUUGUGGCUGGGGGUGAAAGGCCAAUCAAACCGGGAGAUAGCUGGUUCUCCCCGAAAGCUAUUUAGGUAGCGCCUCGUGAAUUCAUCUCCGGGGGUAGAGCACUGUUUCGGCAAGGGGGUCAUCCCGACUUACCAACCCGAUGCAAACUGCGAAUACCGGAGAAUGUUAUCACGGGAGACACACGGCGGGUGCUAACGUCCGUCGUGAAGAGGGAAACAACCCAGACCGCCAGCUAAGGUCCCAAAGUCAUGGUUAAGUGGGAAACGAUGUGGGAAGGCCCAGACAGCCAGGAUGUUGGCUUAGAAGCAGCCAUCAUUUAAAGAAAGCGUAAUAGCUCACUGGUCGAGUCGGCCUGCGCGGAAGAUGUAACGGGGCUAAACCAUGCACCGAAGCUGCGGCAGCGACACURUGUGUUGUUGGGUAGGGGAGCGUUCUGUAAGCCUGYGAAGGUGURCUGUGAGGYAUGCUGGAGGUAUCAGAAGUGCGAAUGCUGACAUAAGUAACGAUAAAGCGGGUGAAAAGCCCGCUCGCCGGAAGACCAAGGGUUCCUGUCCAACGUUAAUCGGGGCAGGGUGAGUCGACCCCUAAGGCGAGGCCGAAAGGCGUAGUCGAUGGGAAACAGGUUAAUAUUCCUGUACUUGGUGUUACUGCGAAGGGGGGACGGAGAAGGCUAUGUUGGCCGGGCGACGGUUGUCCCGGUUUAAGCGUGUAGGCUGRUUUUCCAGGCAAAUCCGGAAAAUCAAGGCUGAGGCGUGAUGACGAGGCACUACGGUGCUGAAGCAACAAAUGCCCUGCUUCCAGGAAAAGCCUCUAAGCAUCAGGUAACAUYAAAUCGUACCCCAAACCGACACAGGUGGUCAGGUAGAGAAUACCAAGGCGCUUGAGAGAACUCGGGUGAAGGAACUAGGCAAAAUGGUGCCGUAACUUCGGGAGAAGGCACGCUGAUAUGUAGGUGAAGUCCCUCGCGGAUGGAGCUGAAAUCAGUCGAAGAUACCAGCUGGCUGCAACUGUUUAUUAAAAACACAGCACUGUGCAAACACGAAAGUGGACGUAUACGGUGUGACGCCUGCCCGGUGCCGGAAGGUUAAUUGAUGGGGUUAGCGGUAACGCGAAGCUCUUGAUCGAAGCCCCGGUAAACGGCGGCCGUAACUAUAACGGUCCUAAGGUAGCGAAAUUCCUUGUCGGGUAAGUUCCGACCUGCACGAAUGGCGUAAUGAUGGCCAGGCUGUCUCCACCCGAGACUCAGUGAAAUUGAACUCGCUGUGAAGAUGCAGUGUACCCGCGGCAAGACGGAAAGACCCCGUGAACCUUUACUAUAGCUUGACACUGAACAUUGAGCCUUGAUGUGUAGGAUAGGUGGGAGGCUUUGAAGUGUGGACGCCAGUCUGCAUGGAGCCGGCCUUGAAAUACCACCCUUUAAUGUUUGAUGUUCUAACGUUGGCCCCUGAYCGGGGUUGCGGACAGUGUCUGGUGGGUAGUUUGACUGGGGCGGUCUCCUCCUAAAGAGUAACGGAGGAGCACGAAGGUUGGCUAAUCCUGGUCGGACAUCAGGAGGUUAGUGCAAUGGCAUAAGCCAGCUUGACUGCGAGCGUGACGGCGCGAGCAGGUGCGAAAGCAGGUCAUAGUGAUCCGGUGGUUCUGAAUGGAAGGGCCAUCGCUCAACGGAUAAAAGGUACUCCGGGGAUAACAGGCUGAUACCGCCCAAGAGUUCAUAUCGACGGCGGUGUUUGGCACCUCGAUGUCGGCUCAUCACAUCCUGGGGCUGAAGUAGGUCCCAAGGGUAUGGCUGUUCGCCAUUUAAAGUGGUACGCGAGCUGGGUUUAGAACGUCGUGAGACAGUUCGGUCCCUAUCUGCCGUGGGCGCUGGAGAACUGAGGGGGGCUGCUCCUAGUACGAGAGGACCGGAGUGGACGCAUCACUGGUGUUCGGGUUGUCAUGCCAAUGGCACUGCCCGGUAGCUAAAUGCGGAAGAGAUAAGUGCUGAAAGCAUCUAAGCACGAAACUUGCCCCGAGAUGAGUUCUCCCUGACUCCUUGAGAGUCCUGAAGGAACGUUGAAGACGACGACGUUGAUAGGCCGGGUGUGUAAGCGCAGCGAUGCGUUGAGCUAACCGGUACUAAUGAACCGUGAGGCUUAACCUUACAACGCCGAAG